GAGAAUUACAGCUAUUUUAGAAUUUGUCUAGCAGGUUUUCCGGUCCUCACCGGAAGAUGUCCCC
ensembl:snRNA U7 U7 small nuclear RNA